rnacentral:rRNA from 1 species
GAUGAACGCUGGCGGCGUGCCUAAUACAUGCAAGUCGAGCGAAGCGGGAGCGGGUGAGGAAAACGUGGGUAACCUCCUAUAAGACUGGGAUAAACUAGGGGAACCGGAGCUAAAACGGCUACUUUGCGAUGGAUGCGCGCUGCAUUAGCUAGUUGGUAAGGUAACGGCGUACCAAGGCCACGAUGCAUAGCCGACCUGAGAGGGGGACCGGCCACACUGGAACUGAGACACGGUCCAGACUCCUACGGGAGGCAGCAGUAGGGAAUCUUCCGCAAUGGGCGAAAGCCUGACGGAGCAACGCCGCGUGAGUGAUGAAGGUCUUCGGAUCGUAAAACUCUGUUAUUAGGGAAGCGGUACCUAAUCAGAAAGCCACGGCUAACUACGUGCCAGCAGCCGCGGUAAUUC